UGGUGGAAGGUUCGAAAAAAUUAAGGAUCACGGAAAUGUAUUGCAGCAGAUUUUUACAUCUAAAGUGUAACAGUUUAGACGUAAAAGAUCAGUGGUUUAUAUUGAGAAUUUUUUUUGACGAAACUAAAGGGAAAUCCGCUGUUAGGAAGUGUCAAAGCUGUCAUAAAAAUUUCAUAGAGAUUUGGAUAGAAAAAGUAUAGUAGCAAGAUCAAACAAUCUAUGCUAUGCAGUUGGAAUUCUACGGUGCAUCUUUCGUCGUAAAGAUGAAAACUUGACGAUGAAAAGUUUAUGCAGCAAUAUAGGAACAUUUUUUUUUUAUUUUUGAAUAAAGAUAACUAAAUUGUAGCAACAGUAAGGUAAGAAACCAUAACCUGUUGCAAUUCACAGGAAGAUCAAAGGAUGAUCCGUGAUGGUGGAGAUGACGGUGGAAUUCGGCGACGAUAUUUUAAGCAAUUGUGGGAAUUGGUUUGGGCGGCUGUGGAGGGCUGAUUGAUGAUUGUGGAAGGGCAGCGAGAUACCAAGAACGUUGCUCUGAUACCAAGUGAUAGAACCUUUGUAGAUUCUAAGCUUGGGGUUGAUCUCUUUAGGGGAUCGACCUCCUUGGAACUCUAUAGGAGUUCGUUCCUUCAGGUUAUUGCUCAAAGGUUGCUAAAAGGAUUGAUCUAUUCAUUAAGAAAAUAGGAUAAAUACAUGACUAUUUAUAAGACUUCUAAACCUCAACUCCUAAUAUGACUCCUACUCAAGAUUCAUAUUUCUAACCAACUCCUAAUAGAACUCCUACUCAAGACUCAUACUUCUAACUAACUCCUAAUACUUUUCUAAAAAGUAACCUCCAAACUAAUCCUAACCUUAGCCGGUCUCUUCAUAGGUUAGUUAGAUAGGUUUUACAUGAAUGUCUCUUUUAAUGAAACUCAAUUAGAACUUUCCUAACUAGAGUUCUAACAAUAAGACCGAGGCAGGUGAGUCCCUUAACAGCGACACGAGUGAUUGGGUCCCUCAACGGGGACACGAGACUCUUAGAGAUGACGUGUCUCUCGUGUUCCCAUAAGCUGAUCCAAUGGAUUUGAUCUCUGGGAUGUCGAUUACUUCUUCAUCACGAGGCCAGAUUUCCAGCAGUAUCCUACAAGGAGGGAGAUGGAUAGAUAAUGAAAAUGAGAUGGAUAGAUAAUGAAAAUGUUGGUGCUUUUUUCUUUAGUUUUUACUGUGAUCAAUCUAUGAAUGAUCAUAUAUGAGAAUCCUGCAGUAAAUGUGAUAAAUGCCCACACCAUGUCCGAUUCAUGCAUUAAUGCAGGGAGAGGACAGUCCAUGUCGGAGAUGUUUUAUCUGUGACAUUCCAAGUAGUUGUGUGUGUCAGUUUGAUUGAGAAAGACAUUACAAAUUCUAUGAACAUCCAACAACUCGUGUAAAUUGCUCGCAUACCGUCCAAAACAUGGGAACAUAGAUGGUAUGAGCUGUCACUACUCGUUCAAGUGUUUCGGAAACACAAGGCAAGACGAACAAAAGUCUACCUGCAUCGAAUCAGAAUUUGCUAGUGACUACUGUAUUAACAACAUAUAUAUGACAUCUAAAUGAAAUACAUGUUCAUAAUUAUUACGAUAUUUAUCUCAGUAUAAUAAAUUAAGAGUAAUUCGAACAACAACGAUUAAUCAUUCAUAUGCCCUUCGAUUCAUUUUUUACCAUUUAGACACCCUCAUGUUACAUUUAAUGCUGUCAUCAAACAUUUAUCACUAUUCUCUGCCAAUCCUAAACCAAAAUAGACAGCAUUCUUUGGAGUCUCUCGGUUUCUCUAUAGUAUUGCACACUAGACUACAUUAUCAUAUAUACAAACUAGAUAAGUUUCUUCUUUUGAAAGUAACCCUUCAGGUGCCACAACUGCAACAUGGAAACCACAAUGCAUACACCAAGGGACAUAAUACUAAACCAUGCAACCCUUGCAUUCGUCCUCUCGCUUACUUCCCUCAUCUCUGCCUCCCUGAAAGCAUAAAAAAAUACAGAAGAAACAAUACAUGAUCAGAUGCUAGUUAUUACCCACAACUGCAUGGAAUAUUUGACAAGAAACCACUUUUUUUCUUUUUUUAAUUACCUGGACUUAAGAUAAAGCAGGUUUGCAUGGAUUGCUUGCACAGCUGCUUCUAAUUUUGUCAACUCUAGCUCAACGCCCUACAUUUUGAGAAGCUUGGCCAUAAUUGUCACCAAAAAAAUGCACCUCAAAUAGGAAUUGCACAUCCUAUAUACCAAGGUGACGAGUUUGCUUUGUAGCUCUAAGUGCUCACCUCAAUCUUAUCUUUUUUGGCAACAGAAUCCCAGUCCUUCGCUGCAAUUCCAAUCUUCCAGUCAAGGCUAACACUGGCUCCAACACCUUUAUCACCACUAUCUAUCCAGAAACAUGCCAAGUAGUUGCCGGCUUCAGUAGUUGUGAAUGCAAACUGACCUGCUGUAACAUGCUCUUUGUGGUGAAGUGUGUUUCCAUAAGGUGAUGUAACCUACAAAAAAAGGCAAUUCAGCUGAAGCAACAAAAGGUACAAAUAUACAAGAUGCCAUCUAAAUACUGAUGAUUAGACAUUAUAAAAUUUCUUUGUUAAGCCUCUCUUGAUCUCAACACACCCUAUUUAUGUAAUUUAGAUACAUAAAAUAAGGAGGGAUAAUGGCUUGCAAAGAAAGAAAGAAGGUGGGUACACUGAAGGUAAAUUGGCUCCCAAGUCCAAAGAAUGUUGGGGCACCAAUCAUUCUCAUGAGUUUCAAUAUUACCUCUUAUGAUGGAAAUAGGGGCCUACCUUCUUGUCCAUAUCAUUUCGAUGUUACCUCAACUUCUUAUGCCCAAAGACAGGAGCCUACCUUUACUUCCUUUUUUUCCAUGGCACUUCCUUUUCUCUAUCACAAGUAAUGUGGGAGUCAAAAUAAAACUCAGUGCUAAGUUUCCAGACUGCCUUUUCCUCUACAUUUCAGAGCUCAAGAUCCCAAAAGGAUGUUGCCUUAUCAUAAUAGGAUGAUUGAUGCUAUGCUAUGAAGAACAGAUACAAAUGACUUCCAAUAUCUAUAUCGAAUAUAUGUUGCAUAUGAUGAUUGUUAAAUACUCCCAAGACACAUAUCGGAUACUGCACGAUAUUUAAUGUCUAGGAUGCUUUUUAGAGGCAUAUUUUGUGGCUACUUCUUAGACACUUAUUUGCUUCCUUUGAAUGUUGUUCUUUAACAUGGAAAAGAUUAGUACAUCAUCAGAUAGAUUAUUGACUAUUUUUACCAAACAUUAGAUUUUGAUAAAAUAAGUUUAAGUAAUGGUCCUACCUUAUUUUUCAAAAGUUCUUGGUAGCUCAUGCAUAUUCUUUGAACAUUUUUUCUGAUUACUUGUUUUCAUAAUGAUAUGUAACUACAUAUUAGAAUACUAUAGCAAAUGCCAAGCUUUGUAAUAUGUAUUACUAACAAAUGAAAAUUUUUUGGUCUGUCAUUGCCAUUUUACAUCCAUUUUUCAAAAAUUGACAUAGCAACAUAUUCCGACGUAUUAGUAUCUCAUAUCCAUAUCUAAGCCUCAUAGAUGCCGUGAAAUAAAUCACCAAGUGUUCAUCAAAGAGCAUCAGCAGAUUUAAGUUGGAAAUGAUCAGCUCUUAGGAUGGCAUAUAAUAUUAUGUUACGUCAAAUCACUCAAAAAUUGGAAUUAAUUUGGUGCUAUGCUUUUGGUCUCCAUUUCCAAACCGCUUUUCACCUGAUAUAUAUGCUAAAAGCAAUAUUUUUUGUCAUUAAUUCCCAUGUCCUGUUUUUAAGGGCCUAGAAAUAUAACCCAACAAGAUUUAAUCCAUCAUCUAUUUGAAAAAAAAAACCUUCCACAAUUUGCAGAUGUUUUUUCAAUUGUAGCACUUUAUUCUUUUUUGAAAAUGUAAAAUCCAAGAGUCUUCGAGAAGUUGGAGGAAUGGUUGCUAGAGAAAAAUGCUACAGAUUGCACCAAUGUAUUCAAAUCAAAAGGAGUUCAUAUGGCAAUAGACUAAAGGUUCCAUUUCAACUUAUUAGAUGAGAAUCUGCCAAAAGUUAAAAGCAAUGUCUACCUUAAUUUGUGCAUGCAUGACCUGGUUUUCCACAGACAGCAUGCUUUAUGGCACUGCUAGGAGUAAAUGAAGAUGAAGGAUUGGUAGUGAAAAGUGUAAUGGCUAAAACCUAGAAUAAUGGUAACUUCAUGGAUCAAAUACAGAUGAAGGAUUCACAGUUAUGAUAAAUAUUAUGCAGAGUCUUGAGUCAAAUUGUGGUGCAAUGAUGACAGCAAUUAACAAACACAAGUAAUAUAUGAAGCAACAACCAGUAUAAUUGUGACAGAAAUCAGGUAUUUUAAUUUUUUUGUCCCUAGCAAUGAAAUCAACAAAUGCUUAGGCGCUCGCCUUGGCGCCCAGGCGAGGUGAGGCGAGACCCGAGCACCUCAAUUAGGGUUUGGGCCGGCACCUUCAACUAGGUGCUGCUUAGGCAUGCGCUUGGGCCUAGGUGUUGGGUAGCCAAAGCGCUCGCCUGACCCAAAUUAGCUUUAAAUGAGCUUGAGUUGAACCCGAAUUGAAUGAUUCGAUUGAUCGGUUCAACCAAGCAAGAUAACCCAGCUCACUAAGCUCACUAAUCCCUAUCCCCAACCCCUCUUCAUGUGUGACCCCUUUCCUUUAACCUAAUCAUCGUGUCUUCGUCUAUGUGCAAGGUGACUGCAUCUACUCUUAUGAGCAAGUGUGCAAGCUGACGACCGAUGUUUGUGUGCAAGCCAACGAUGCUUCCCCUCGUGAAAGAAGGUAUCUUCUCCUCUUUCCUCUCUUUCCUUCUCCCUCUUUCCAUCCCUCUCCACCUUCUGUCGGUGCCAGUCCUUGAGCUCCCGCCGUGCUGUCCCCUCCUCCAUAUCUCGUGGUCGUACCUCCCUCUCUUGUCUCUCUCUUGUCAUGUCGUUCCCUCUACUUUCGGUGGCAACACCUCUGUCUCUCGGUAACUCCCGACGACCACGAAGGCCAAUGGUAAUGCCCCCUUCCCCCUCUCUUUGCUUCUUCCUAACAUAAUCACCUCCCCUCCCCCUUGGCUCUCUCUCCCCCCUCGACCCCCCUCGCCUCUCUCUAUCUCUCUCUUAAGGCGACUCCAAAGAUCACUAGCAACCGACAGUACCCCCUUCCCCCUCUCUCUUCUUGUUUCUCUCUCUACUUCUUUCCCCGCCCCUUCCCUUGCUCUUAGCCAGUUUUCCCCUCCCACGAGUGCCCUCUCCUCUUCCUACUUCUUUCUCUCCUUGACAUCCCCAUUAAUUAUUGAAUUUGUUACUACUAGGAUUUUAAUUUAUCAUUGUUAGAAUUCUUACCAAAAUUCUUGGACUUUUUGUUAAUUUUCUUGUGUUUUGUUAUUUUUGUUGUUAUAUUUGGUCAAUUUAAUACUUUAAUACUUUUAGUGAUUUAAAAAGCAUUAGGUGCUAAGGUCCUAAAAUGCCCGAGGCGCUAGGCGCUUGCCAGAGCAAAGCAUGGCGUUCUAAAAUAUAAAAAUACAAAAAUAUAUAAUAUUAUUAAUCUAAUAAAUAAAAAAUUAUUUUGUACAAUAAUUAAUAAUCAACUGUUAACAAUAUAUUAUUUACUGUUAAUAGCAAUUAGAAGGGAAAAAUAUAAUUGUUAAAAUGGAUAAAAAAUAUCACCUAGUAAAACCGACAGUGAAGUCAAAACUCAUAAGAGAAGUAGCAGACAAUAGCUACAGCAGCGGCAACGGAGUCGCAGACAGUAGGAGGCAGCAGAUAGCAGCAGCGACAACGAAGUCGCGGAUAGCAGCAACAGCAGCGGCAGAUAGCAGACAACAAUGAAAGCUGAGGAGACUCGGUUGGCAACAAAGGAAGACUCGGAGGCGGAGGGAGAAAUCAUCGGCGAUGGAGGCAGAGGGAGAAAGUGCAUGCUAGGGUUGGGAGUCAAGGUCACGCACAAGUUUUGAGGUAACUGCGUGCGUUAGUUGGUUCAAUCGAACCAACUAACAACACAUUUAACUGAACCCGAUUGCCUUAUAUCAACCGGGCACUCGCUCGAAGUGCCCGAUGCUUGGGCUCGGGCAAGCGUCGCCUGGCCAUUAUAUGAGGCGCUCGAGCCUCGCCUCACCUCGCCCGAGCACCUUUUUAAGUCACUAAAUGCUUUAUAGAUGUUAAAUAAAUUACUAAUGUCUUAAUGGUGAUAAUUUGAUUAUGAAGUGAUAUAAAACUUAUAUUUUGUCAAAUUUUUAUAUUAAUUAUUGUCUUUCCUCUUAAUUAUAUUUUUAUAUUGGCAAGCGUCUUGUUUCGCUCGGGCGAGCACCUAGACGAGCGCCUAGCGCCUCGAGUGUUUUAGAGCCUUGGCGCCUUUUAGCACCUAGCACCUUUGACAACACUCAUUCCUAGUGAAUUCUAGGGAUCCUCUAUCAAAAGCCUUUUACAAUUAAAAUAUAAUGACCAAUGUACAAUGAAUAAAUUUCUGCCAGCCUUGCUGUCCACUCUCUUUUAAGAAUAUCACAGAAUCUUUGUGAAAGCAAAUUAACCUUCCUUUCCAAGGGCAUCACCUGAAAAGACUCUUUUACCAAGGCAGUCUAUUGUGUGGGUGAGCAGCUCUUAGGUCGCCCAUUUGCAUCUUGUGUGAGGAACCUUAGGUGUAGGGUUUCUUGAAAAAUUAUAAGUUGGACUGGGUCACUUAAAAAGGGAUGGUCAGUGUCCCAAUUCACACCUGGACCAAUAAGUAUGAUUGGCUAUGAACCGAUCCAAAUGAAAUUGCAUUUGUUGUUUUCAUGUAUGGUUAGCCGCCCACAUAUCAUACAUAUAUCAUGAGCUCCACACAUGUUGUCAAAGCAUAGAUAGAACUACUUUCUUAUUCAUGUUAAGAACUAACAAUUAUUAAUUCUCCAUGCAAGCUAGCCAGUAACUUUUUCCUCAAUGAAACAUUUCAACUGAACCUACCUUCUUGUUCAAGAACUUAUGUUUAGCCACUUUAUUCCAAGGUGAUGCUCUAGGACGCAAGUAAGUAGAUGUUGUUUACAGUUGAAAUUAAAAUUUAACCCCAAUUUACCUAUAAGUACUCCCAAAAUAAGGUCAUUUCUACUGUUCGUACUGACUCUUAAGUACAAUGUCUGUAAAGCAUGCACACAGUCAGUAUGGAUGGACGACUUCAGUGAUGAACAAUGGCUGAUAGCCCCUAUUUUGUUAGGGAAAGGAUUCUUAAAUGCUUUUCUUGUUCUCUUGAUCUGACCAGUGGCCUAUUUGGCCUUCUUUCUUUUACAAAAUGAAAUAGAACUGCUGAUCUUUCAUUCCCAACUCGUGAAGGAUUCCUCCAUGAAGUUGGAUUCCAUCUUUAGGCCUUGAAAAAUCAGGAUAACUUCUGCUACAGUGAUAUAAAAAUGGAUAUGAAGUAGGUUAGACCUGAGCUUGAUCAACUUGGACCAGAAAUCUGAUCACGUCGAGUGCAUUAAUUAACAUUUCCCAUCUUUCAAAUCUGCCAUCAGAUCAACACUAAAACAGAAAGAAACAGAUUGAUCCCCAUGCAAUUGAUCAAUUGAACUUGUUAAUGAAAAUUUUAUUUUUAUGCCAUUGAUUGUCAACAUUCAUGAUCGGUCUUGUGGCCAUAUCGAGCUUUGAGUUGUGUCUCACUGCAUGCUGGAUCUGCUGAAUCUUUAGGAGUUAAUAAUUCAUUGCAAUGUUCCAAAACAAGGUCAAUAACUGUUGGCCUGAGCUUAUGCAAUGCGAUUUUGGAAGGCUAAAACUUUCAGCUUGUUGUAAUAUUCUAUCUUGGGAUGGUCUGGAUCCUAUCAGGAUCUCUAGAGUUGUCUUCAAAGCAGGGGGAAGAAGUCAAAUUCAGCAUAGGAGACAUUAGAGUUUUGGUUGAUAAUUAAUUGCAUGCAGAAGGAAUAAUAUCACGAUGAGUGUAUGGCCGUAAUCAUCUCUGCAUGUUUGCUUUAUGGUACAAACUGUUAUAAAUUGUUCAAAUGAAAAAAAAAAAAAAAAUUAAAGAUUUAUUUAAAAAGGUGGUUUCCUUUGUAGUUAUUUUGGUAGUUAUUUUUCAAAAGUUGUGUCUUUUGUGAAAAAUAUCUAUAAAUAGAUAUUUGAGAGUAAAUUAUGAUGACAUCUCUUUCAUACUCUUCUUCUUUACUCUCCAAGUAAUUGAAUUAGAUAUUCUCUAAUUCCUUUUUGAAGAUUCUUUAUUGUUUGCUCAAUACAGAUCUUCUAAAGGCUUGUCAUAUCCACUAAAACUAUUUGCAUCAAACCCAUAGCAAUCUUAUUGAGAAGAGGGUGCAAAUAUCGUUUUUAGGAAAGUGUUUAUACACAUUUCAAGCCUAAAUAUAUUUCCUAUAGUAUUCUUGAUCUUGUGUUUGUUAUUUGUUUCCAAAAUGUUUUCAUCCUCUUCUUUGUCGUAUUUUUCCAACAAUCUAAAAACGAUAUUUUGUGAGUUUAUACAAAUUCACCAUGGAGGCCACAAAUACCAUCAAAUUAUUGAAUCAAGAUUUUGUUCAUUUGGAUCGUUUUGAUGGAACGAAUUUUACCCGUUGGCAAGACAAGAUGAAAUUCAUGUUAACUGCUUUGAAGAUCUUCUAUGUGCUUGAUCCAAAUCUUCAACCAAUUCCUGAUCCAACCGACAAUGACACCUAUGAAGUCAAGGCUGAACAAAAGAAUAGAAAUGAAGAUGAAGUCAUGUGUAGAGAACACAUUCUCAAUGCUCUUUCGGACUAGCUUUAUGAUCUUUAUACGGUGGAACCAUCUGCAAAAGUAAUUUGGAAUGCUUUGGAUUUCAAGUAUCAUGCCGAGGAACAAGGUACAAAGAAAUUUUUAAUUUCUAAAUAUUCUGAUUACAAGUUUAUGGAUGACAAGUCAAUCUUGGCACAAGUGCAUGAGUUGUAGGUCAUUGUUAAUUAAUUGAAGGCUGAAAAAAUCGAACUUCCUAAACUUUUUCAAGUAGGGGCUAUAAUAGCCAAGUUGCCCUCAUCUUGGAAAGGGUAUAGGAAAAAGAUUUUGCAUGACUCAAAGAAUAUCACUUUGGAGCAAAUUCAAAAACAUCUUCGAAUCGAGGAGGAAUCGAGAAUGAGAGAUAAGAGUGAGAACUCUUUUGGCAAUAUAAAAGCAAAUGUUAUGAAUCAGCCUAAGAAUUCCAACAAAAGCAAGCAAAACAAGAAGAAUCAUUUUGGCCCCAAAAGGGAUCAAAGAAAAUUUAAGAAGCCAAAAAUUGGAGGUUGUUUUAUUUGUGGAAAACCUGAUCAUUUUGCUAGGGAUUGCAGAUUUAAAAAAGGCAAAAAAUCGGAAGUCAACUCCGUUGAGGGAGAUGAUAAUAUAAUCGCUACGGUGAGCGAAGUGAAUGUCAUAUUUGGCAAGGUUUCUGAUUGGUGGUAUGAUACUUGUGCUACCGUCCAUGUUUGCUAUGAUAAGGCACUCUUCAAGAUUUACAAAGAAGUCACAAAAGGGCAAGAGAUUCAAAUGAGAAAUAAAGUUCGUUCUAAGGUGAUUGACGAGGGAAAUGUGGAACUCACUUUCACUUCCGGAAAGAAAGUCACUCUUACUAAUGUUCUUCAUGUACCAGAUACAAGUAGAAAUUUAGUGAGUGGGAAUCUCCUUGGCAAACCUAGAAUUAAAUCUGUAUUUGAAUCCAGGAAGUUAAUUCUAUCCCGUAAUGGAAUUUUUGUUGGAAAAGGCUAUUUCGCUGAGGAAAUGAUCAAAUUAUCUAUUGUUGAUAAUGAUUCUAAAUUUAAUAAAGAUAUUGUUUCUAUUUAUAUUGUUGAUUCUUAUUCAUUAUGACAUGAUAGAUUAGCACAUAUUGGAACUAGCACCAUUAGAAGAAUGGUUAAGUGUAGCUUAAUAAAUUAUCAUUUUGAUGAUGUUAAUAAAUAUGAAAUUUGUGUUAAAUCAAAGAUGAUGAAGAAACUCUUCAAAAAUGUUGAAAGAUAUACUAAUUUGUUAGACUUAAUACAUAUUCUGAUAUAUGUGAAUUAAAUGGCAUAUUAACAAGAGGAGGUAAUAGAUAUUUCAUUACUUUUAUAGAUGAUAUGUCUAGAUUCACAUGUGUACUUAUUGAAACAUAAAAAUGAUGCUUUUAAUGCUUCUAAGGCAUAUAAAGCAGAAGUUGAAAAUCAAAUAGGGAAGAAAAUUAAGGUUUUAAGAAGCGAUAGAGGAGGAGAAUACUUUCCUAAUGAAUUUAACUUGUUUUGUUAACAACAUGGCAUAAUUCAUGAAUGUUCAGCACCUAGAACACCUGAGAAAAAUGGAUUAGCAGAAAGAAAAAAUCGAACUUAUCUAGAGAUGAUUAAUGCUAUGUUGUUGCAUGCUAAAUUAUUUUAUAAUUUAUGGGGAGAAGUUUUAUUGGCUGCAUGUCAUUUUUUAAAUAAAAUUCCCUUUAAAAAGAAUAAGAUCUCUCCAUAUGAGUUAUGGAAAGGAAGACAACCUAACAUUGGUUAUUUUAAAGUGUGAGAGUGUCUUACAUAUGUUAAGAAUAAUGAUCCUCAAAGGACAAAGUUGAGACCUAGUGGAAUCAAAUGUGCAUUUAUAGGCUAUGCCACAAAUAGCAAAGCUUAUAGACUUCUUAAUUUGAAGUCUAAUAUCAUAAUAGAAUCUCGAGAUGUAGAGUUCUUUGAACAUUUAACGACUUCAAGUAAUAAUGUUCAUCCUCCAACUAGUGAAGAGUCACUAGUGGAGACAUCUCAAAAGGUUGGUGAGCAACCUAAUAUUCCUUUGAUUGGACAUCAAUCAAGUUCACAAGAGGUUGGAGAGCAAUCUCAUGAAUUAAGGAGAAGCACUUGUGUAUGAAAAGCAAAAACAUUAAGAUCGGAUGAGAUUGAUUAUCAAAGUAUUUCUUUUUACCUUGUAGAAGGAACUAAUGAGAGAGUCUUAAAAACAAUUCCUCUUGUUUUACAAGUGGAAGAUGAUCCUAAAACGUUUAAAGAAGCUAUGGCCUCUCGUGAUGCUGCUUUUUGGAAAGAUGCUAUUAAUGAUGAGAUGAAUUCUAUUAUGUCAAACCACACUUAGGAACUUGUCGAUUUACCUUUUGCCUCUAAACCUAUUAGUUGUAGAUGGGUAUUUUGUAGGAAGUAUCAUAUAAAUGGUACUCUCCAAACGUUCAAAGCAAGGUUAGUUGCUAAAGAAUUUCGACAAAAGGAAGGAAUAGAUUAUUUUAACACAUAUGCUCUUGUGGCUAGGAUCACAUCUAUUAGAAUUAUUUUUGUUUUAGCAUCAAUUUUUUAUCUUUAUGUUCAUCAAAUAGAUGUCAAAACGACAUUUCUAAAUGAAGACCUCGAUAAGGAGAUAUAUAUGGAACAAUCCGAAUGUUUUGUUCUACCAGGAAAUAAACAUAAAGUGUGUAAACUUAUUAAGUCAUUGUAUGGUUUAAAGCAGGCUCCAAAACAGUGGCAUGAGAAAUUUGAUGCAAUAAUUCUUUCUAAUGGAUUUGUACAUAAUAUUGCAGAUAAAUGUGUUUAUCUCAAAACUUGUGAUGACUAUAUGGUGAUAGUUUGCCUUUAUGUAAUGAUAUGCUAAUAGUGAACAACAACAUGAAAGGUAUUGUAGAAACAACGAGGUUUCUCUCUUCAACAUUGAAGAUGAAAGAUGUUGGGCAAGUUGAUACUCAUUACAUAGAGAAAGAACUAGAGAAAUUCAGUCACUUAAAAAUCAAAGAAACAAAUACCCCAUUUGACCCAAGUAUCAAAUUAGUCAAGAAUGUUAGAAGAACAGUGGUUUAAUUAGAAUAUUCAAGUGUUAUAGGAAGUCUUAUGUAUGCAACGCAGUUCGCAAGACCUGAUAUAGCAUUUGCAGUUAGUAAAUUGAGUAGAUUUACUAAUCCAAAUGUAGAGCAUUGGAAGGCUAUUGAAAAAGUUCUUAGGUACCUUAAAUGAACCAAAGAUUAUGACCUACAAUACUCAAAAUUUCUUGUUAUUUUAAAAAGAUAUACUGACGCAAAUUGGAUAUCGAGUUUUGGAGAUAACAAAUCCACCACUUGUUGGGUGUUCACAUUGGGAGGUGGCGUUGUUUCUUGGAAGAGCAAGAAACAAAUGUGUAUAACUCACUCAACUAUGAAAUCAGAAUUUGUUGCUCUAGCAGAUGCAGGAAAGGAGGCUUAAUGGUUGAGGGACUUUUUAUUAGAAAUUUCAUUGACUUCUAAGAGUGUGAAUUCAAUUUCUAUACUUUGUGAUAGUCAAGUCACUUUAGCUCGUGCGUAUAGUGAAAUAUAUAAUGGAAAGUCAAGGCAUAUAAGUCUUAGACAUGAUUAUGUAAGGAAAUUAAUCAAGAGUGAGAUUAUUUCACUCACAUUUGUGAAAACAAGUGAGAAUUUGGUUGAUCCAUUCACCAAACCUCUUACAAGAGAAGUUGUAAGAUCAACAUCAAAAUGGAUAGGGCUAAAACUCCUUGAAUAAAAAAUCCACCAAUGAUAACAAACCCUACAUAAUAUUAUGAAAUCAGUAAUGAAGAGUUCAAAGGGUAAGAACAAGUCAUUGACAUGUGUAAUAGUUCAGCACUUUAAAAUAUUUUAUGAGUCCUAUCUAAAGAUGUUAAAGUGCUGGUUGUCACCGAAUAAGGGUUGAGUUAACUAUACUCUUAAUGAAGUUCAGUCAAGUUAGGACAAGUAUCUCAAAGAGUGACAAUGAUACUUUAAAAACUUCACCUAUAUGAACUUAGAAGUGGUGCCGCUUCGAUUGAGAGUUGGAGUUUCUCUCAUAAAAGUUCAUAAACUUGGAUGAGCCCAAGGCCAUAUUAAGGCUAAGCAAGAUUUUAUGAGGAAUACAAGGAUGUUGUAUUUUUGUGUGUGGUAUCACUAGUGUUGUCAUUAGGAAUAAUAAAUUCAAAGCUUUUAUGCUAUUUGGGAUUUCGACUUUACUUUGUGAUGCUUACACUAAGGUAAUAUUCAAAUCGAAAGAUAUAUAUUAUUUUAUUCAUAAAUACUAUUUAAUCACUUGGAGAAAAUUUUAAAUUUGAACAAGUGGGGGAUUAUUAUAAAUUGUUCAAAUUUAAAAAAAAAAAAAUUCUUUUCAAAAGACUUAUUUGAAAAGGUGGUUUCCUUUAUAGUUAUUUUGAUAGUUAUUUUUCAAAGGUUGUGUCUUUUGUGAAAAAUAUCUAUAAAUAGGUAUUUAAGAGUAAAUUAUGAUGAUAUCUCUUUCAUACUCUUCUUCUUUACUCUCCAAGUGAUUGAAUUAAACAUUCUCUAAUUUCUCUUUGAAGAUUCUUUAUUAUUUGCUCAAUACAGAUCUUCUAAAGGCUUGUCAUAUCCACUAAAACUAUUUGCAUCAAACCCAUAGCAAUCUUGUUGAGAAAAGGGUGCAAAUAUCGUUUUUAGAAAAGUGUUUAUACACGUUUCAAGCCUAAAUAUAUUUCCUAUAGUAUUCUUGAUCUUGUGUUUGUUAUUAUUUUCAUCCUCUUCUUUGUCGUAUUUUUCCAACACAAACUCUGUUGCUCUUGCCUGUCGAAUUUACCAGAGAUACCGACAUGGCAGUAAGAUUGUGCUGGUUUUCUUCGUACUUCCCUCACCAUCAUAUAAUUCUCUCUAUGCAUCUGUUGAUGCUUUUAAAGCCUUCAUAGUCAAGAUUCAGACCUGAUUGUUAAAUGGCCAUUAUCAUCCGUAUCAACAGAAGAAUUUAGCAGUGAAAUUUUGGUAGGGAGAACCCUUGAAUACACUUCUGGUCCUUUAAUCCAAUUCAAAGUCUAUCCAGCACUUUCACUCUCUGCAAAUGCUCUGAAAUGAUCGCCCUUACAAAACCCUUCCUCCUCGGAUCCAACCAUUAACACAAAGCACGACUUCACCCACUCAUGAAAACAAGCAAAUCCACACAUCAGAUACCAGAACUACCAAAAUCACUCCGAUCUCAGUCAUCCGCUUUGGCCAAACAAAGAAUUUCCAAGAAAUGCUUCCGAUGUCAUGCAAAUCUAAGAUCGAAAACCAAGCUUUGUCUGUCAAAUGACAAAUAAUUAUCCCCGAUCAAGAAACUACGCGGUCACAACAUCAAGGACAGAUGUAAAAUUUAGAGGCCUAGAGACUAGUUGUUUGCUUACCUUGGCGGAGAUGAUGGGGAGGCCGUCGGCCUCGCCCUCAUGGACGACGGCAUAGUCGGCGAGCACCACCACGUUGGGUUGUAUCUCCUCCGAGACGCACUUGGUGCCCGAAGCCGGCAGGUUCAGCCACACCGCGGUCACCCCCGGCGCCAACAGCAUAUUACACAGGAGCAGCGCAACCACGGCGGGACGCCGGAUCACCGCGUCGCGCAGACUCAUCUCGACCUUCCCCCUUCAAGCUCUCCCAGAUCUCUACUUGCUUCUGCUGGCUUCAACUCAGAUGAGGGCGAAAAGAUGUAGCAAUAAAGUAAGUAGUUGGACUCCCUCUCUCUCUCCCACCCAGAAUAAUAAUUCGUCCGAUCAUCAAAUUAAAUGUGAAACGAGGGGCGCUGUCGAUUUUAUCCAUGCUUCAAGUAAUUUUGUCUUCUUAAUAUUAUCAUAUCUCCGAAGAAAUAAUUAGAGGACAUGUUUGGUUAGAUUCCGUUUGUAUACUUGAUGGAAUUGAACAUAUCUUAACCAAACCUUUUGCAUAGGCUCCGCGUGCAUUUGUAUGGUCUGGUCUGGAUAGCUUAUUAGCUCUGAUUUAUCUGUAUUUGAUUUAUCAUAAUAAUAAUAUAUUUUUCUUUCGUUUAUCAUUGUAAAUAUUUUUGAGUAAUUUAAUAAUAAAAUUUUACAAUAUGAUGUCUCCGUAUUUUACUUUUAUUAAAGGAUAUCUCUUUUUUUUAAAAUAUCAAUAAUACCUUUAAACUCGGGUCAAUCUUUUUUAUUGAAUCGGUGAUUGAUUCAAGGGUUGAUUCAAUUCGAUUUGGGUCAGAUUCUGCAAAGCGGAUCGGAUCGAGUUUGAUCCGAUGAUUUAAGACAAGGGGAGUUAUACGAGGAGUUAAAAGACAACGGGUGUUUGAGGUGACAACCAAUGUUGUCUCCGAUAAUCUCUUCAACUGUCAUUGCAAAUUUGUGUUAGGGGAAAUGGAGUUAACUAUGCUCCUUCAGUUUGCAAGUUUUUACAUCUGAUUGUGAUGGAUGAUCUAUUGCUCAAUGAAAAGAAACGACUAAUCCAAACAAAUUUCAUACGCCCAAAGCAUAAGAUCAAUGAUCCACGAUACUUACUUAAACUUUAGCCAUAACAGAUGUCAAAUGCCAUAUCAAAGGAUCGAUCAAACAAGGUGUCAGUUGGCAUCAACUGGUCAACAUCUAUCAAGAAGUCACCGUCUCUUGCCCACCUAAGUGUAUCUUCUCCCAUUUCUAACACUCUCCUUCCUCUUUCUCUCAACUACAAAUUAUUGACAUCAUUAUAUAGGCUGAAAAUGACAUUGUUCUGAGCAAUUUCAAGCCUUACUAGUUGAUGCAAUUUCAAGGCUGAAAAUGACAUCAUUAUUAGUUUAUUCAAUCUUGACUAAUUUUAAGCCUUACUAGUUGAUGCGACUUGAUCAAUAGAACUAGUAUAUCUAAUUGUGCUUAACAUUAUUAGUUUCUUAACCUUAAUCGAUACCAUCAGUUAUAAACUAUCAAAAAGUAAACUAUUUUUUGUCAACAUUAUUAAUUUAUUAAAUUUAGGAUUGUAUUAACAGCUACAUCCAUGUGAUGAGUUGUAAGUCAUCGAGAGACAAAUCAGGAUUUGCAAUAUCAUUCAAUAUGAUUCGAUACUAGCAGUAUUGUCAGUCAAACAAUAUCCACUAGGUAGUUCAAGCCUAGCAUAAUGCAUAUGAUAUGAGCAUAUGUAUUGCUCCAUAUAAGCCUACUGCCAAUCUUUUGAUGAUAAUAACUUUCAUAUACAUUCACAAAAGUACAUAUGUUUCAAGGGUACUUUGAUGUAUGAUUUGUUGAUGAAAUAAUCCUUAAGAAAGAUUUAUAUCUAAUUUUAUAUUAAUUAUUUAUUUUGAUUAUUGUCUAAUAGUUUAUGUUGUAAUUUGUUAUCCCUUAAACUUCCAAUAUAAUGUGCUCUAUUUAUAAUAUUUAAUUUUGUAUAUAAAUAGAAUGAAACCAUUAUGUAGAUUCGUUUGAUUCUAGGGUUUAAAAAAGGAUGAAGUGGCUACCAUAAAUAAUAUAUUGUUGAAUCUCAUAUUUUAAUGAUGAAACCAAUUGAUAGUGUUUAUUUGAUUUACGUUUUAAGUGACAUAGGAAGCUUCGAUCAGGAAGAGAUGAUUAAGACAAAAAGAAUCAUGUUGAGCCGGAAUGGAACAUGUUAGAAGAUUAGACGUCGAGUUGGAGGAUCGAUUGAUGUAUCGGUAGAAGGCUUUGGGUCAUGGAUUCGGGCAUCGGGCCAAGAAAAGCAAAAAUUACACCAAGAAAAUCGGAGUUGCGGAGGUCAACUGCCCGAUUGGGCAAUAAGCUGCAAGAGAGGACGAUGCGCUGAAGAAUCGAACGAAGCAUCGAUGAACCAAUGGCAUGUCGGACAACAUUUGAGUUAAGCCUUAUAAUAAGUGUCUAGAUCGAAGUAGGUUUUAAGUAUGCAAGAUUAACUAUGAUAGUGAUCAAGACAUAAAGAAAAAUGAAGUCCUGGAGUCAAGAACUAGAUUUCGUUGGUAGUUUGAGAGUUUGUCGGAAGUCCGGACGUUCUAUCACGAACAGUCGUCGCGCACUCGCAACAACUUCGUUCAACGAAUCGUUCGUCACUUUUACUUGGUUGAACAGAGACAUGACAGCCUGUUUUGCCUUGGUUUUAUGUGUUUUUGCUUGUAAAAAUACAUGUUCGAACAGGUUGCAGUGCACAGUGCGAUCGCUCAUCGCGCUAGGCCAAAAAACCCUAAAAUGACUUCGUUUCCGGGUGUCGUGGGUUAUUUUCUACAGCCUAUUGCAACGCGCGAAAUAUCAACCAUCUCAGCACCCUAGAACCCCCUGGGUGGCAUAGGGCUGGAUGGGGCUUCGGUAUAUUGUCGGGCGUUGAAAAAUCUUCACAAGUUUGCAUGUUGACUUGAAGGGAACUUGCCUUCGCGCUUGGCACCCGGUGAGCAGUUGUUUGUGGACUUGUAACUGUUCGUUCUACCUUCUAAAGUCCUUGUUUUCAUUCUCUCUCUCUUUUCUCUUGUGCACAUAAGGUGCUUGCUGAAUUUCUUGUAAAGCUUCCCUCUUUGCGAGACGUCGGGACUUGUCCGUCACUCGUUUUCAAUCUAAUCAACUUUCUAUUUUAUAGGUCCUUCGGGACUUGUACGAGAUUACAACUAGGCUGAACCUUUGCGGACGCAUAUGUUGCAAGGGCGCCUCAAGACUUAGGCAAUCCCAGCUAAGUCCGAGAAGUUGGCGCAAGGGUGCGUCAUAACUUAGGCAACUCAAGCUAAGUUCGCAUCUUGGCCACAAGGGUGCCUCACGACUUAGGCAAUUCCAACUAAGUCUGUAACAGUUCAUCAGAAGUUCUGUCAGAAUUGAUCGAGAACUCUAGGAGUUUACCAGAGAAGCUCAUUGGAACUCGCCAUGAAGAUCAUCGUGAAGUCUAGGAGCUUGCCGGGGAGUCCGUUGGAAAAUUAUCGAGAGAUCAUUGGAAGUUCAUCGGAAGUUUACCAGAAGCUCGUCGGAAGAAAUCUAGACUUACCAGACUUAUUUAGCUUAGUGUAUGCCUCAAAAUUCGUAGCACAUAAUUAGGUUGGAAUUGGGUCAACUCAAUUAGGGGUCAAUUGGGCCCAUGUGGAAGGCCCAAACAAUGACCCAAUUGGUGGAACCAUCGUGGCACAGUCUCCGAGACUAUGUUAGGUGGUGGUAUAGCCCAAACUCAAUCUUUGAGACUGUCAGGCGGUGGUACCACCAGUCUGGACGGUGGUACCACCAGUCUGGGCGAUGGUACGACUGGUGGUACCACCAGUCUGGGCGAUGGUACCACCUAAUAUCAGUGUUGUAGGCGGUGGUACCGCCCAGCAUAGGCGGUGAUACCGUUAGGACUUGGGAAAAGAUCUUUUUAGGCUCCAAGUUUGAAUCCACUUGAGGCCUGUAAAUACCCCUCUCAUCCCUGGUUAACUUACAUAAGAAUUGAGAGUGAAAAAGAAAGAAAACACUAUUGUAAGCUUGUGUGAACUCCUAUCAAACUCUAAGUGUUAGAGAAGCUUAAGAGAGGAGGUUAUAGGGAUUGUAAAGGUUCUCUCAUGAACCUGUCAAAAGAAAAAUCGAGUUAUAAGGAUAGUUGAUCUUCGCCCAUUGAAGGAAGAUCGUUAGUGGAUGUCGGUGGCCUCGACGGAAGAGGAAUCAGUGGAGUGGAUGUAGGUCACGAUGACCGAACCACUAUAAAAAUCUGGUUUGUAUUUCUUUUGAGCAAUUUACCUUUACUACAAACCACUUUACUUUCACUAUGCUUCUAUAUGCUUUCAAGUUAAACUCACAUUUUCGAAAUUAGUUUUUAUCGUAUGAAGUUUUUGAACCGAUGUGUUUUAUCCACUGCACUAAUUGUUGGGUCCAACCCAUAUGUGGACUUGGACAAUUAGGGCUAUAAGCCCAAAUCAAUAAUUAAAAGGAGGGCAGCGAACGUGAGAGAGUGCAGCGAAGGCGUGCAGCAGUUGCGGCGCGCAGAGAGAGAGAGAGAGAGGAAAUAACAAAGAGAGAAAAAGGAGAGAGAAAGUAAGAUUUCUGAGUUUUCUGCUUGACGAUUGAGGGUUAAACUUUGUCAGUUUUGGCCUAAAUUUGAUGCAGAGAAUUCCUGUAGCAAGCUCUAUAAUCCUAACGGUGUUGAUCUAUAGUUUACCUCUAUGAGGUACUUUCCUGUUAUAUUCACUUUGUGAGACCUAAAAUUCUCUUAUUGAUGGGAUUAAUCUAAAGAUAUGCUAUUCUUGAGCCAAGAUAUAUGGUCUUGAUGUUAUUGUGAUCCUCUUGCUAUUUUAGAGAAGACUUAUUAUAAACCUAUUAUUACUACUAUUGAUAGUGGAAGUUUGAGGUGGACUAUGGUCUCAUGGUUUUUCCCGUAUUGGGUUUUUCAUGUUAAAAAUUUGGUCUCACUGUGUGAUUGAUUUAUUACUCUACUAUUUAUGUUAUUUUGGUUGAUAUUUGUAUUUUGAUAUCAAGUUGGUAUUUUGAUGAGGAACUCAUUUUGAUACACAAAGAGGGAAAAGAAUUAUUCUGCUUUAAUAGGUUUUUCCCAACAAGUGGUAUUAGAGCAACAGGUUAUUUGGUACUAGUUUUUUCUUGUGUGAUUGAAAUAAAACAGUCAGAUGGUAUGAUUAAAUUGAACUCAUCAAAUUAUUCCACUUGGAGGCGUAUAAUGGAAGAUUUACUUUAUUGCAAAUAUUUGUAUAAGCCCAUCAAAGUUAAAGAUAAACCUUCUACUAUGGACGAUGAGGAAUGAAAAAUUCAACAUAGAAAAGCUAUUACCUAUAUUAGAAGAUGGAUGGAUAUAAAUUUGCAUGAGCAUAUUUCUGAUGAAACCAGAGCUGAUGUUGUUUGGCAAAGGUUAGAAAAUCUCUUUGCAAAAAAGACAGUGGGAAAUAUAAUUUCUCUCCUCAGAAACUUAUAAAUUUAAAGUAUAAAGAUGGUGGUAAUAUUGUUGAGCACACAAGCCUAUUUCAGAGUCUUGUAAAUAAGUUGGUUGCUAUGAAAAUGAAUAUAGAUGAUGAGAUUCAAGGAUUACUACUUCUCAGCUCUUUACUAGAAAGUUGGGAAACAUAUGUGGUGACAAUUUAUAACUCCACGCUAGAGGGGACUCUAACUAUGGGGACUCUAACUAUAGAUAUGGUUAAAGACAGUUUACUAAAUGAAGAUGCCAAAAGGAAAUAACAGGGUGAAUCUUCUUCUGAGGUAUUUGUUAUUGAAAAACAAGAAAGACGUGGAAGAAGUUAUAGUAGAAAUUCAUAUGGUUAUAGAGGAAGAUCGAAGUCUAGAAGAGAUAUCAAAUGUUUUCAUUGUAACAUGCCAGGUCACAUGAAGAAAGAGUGUAGGUUUUAGAAACGAGAACAUAAUGAAAGGAAAAAAAAUAAGAAAGAGACCAAUACAAUUGAUGCUGAAAAUGAUAUCAUUAUUGUUUGUGAUGACAGUUAUGUCAGUCUUGUAGCUCAAGGUAAUAACUGGGUGAUUGACUCUAGUGGUUCAUUUCAUGUCACUUCUCAUGGUAAUUUCUUCAGAUCUUACACUGCUGGUGAUUUUGGUAAUGUCAGAAUGGGAAACAGUGGUACAUCUAAGAUUGUGGGUAUUGGAGAUAUUUGCUUGGAGACUAGUAUUGGAAGCAAAUUGAUACUCAAAGAUGUAAGACAUGUUUCAAAUAUUCGUCUUAACUAGAUAUCUACAAGCAGACUUGAUGAUGAGGGCUUUACACAUUAUUUUGGUAAAAGUAAAUGAAAACUCACUAAAGGUUAUCUAAUUAUGGCAAGAGGAAAGAAGCUUAACUCAUUUUAUGUCAUGAAAUGUAAGCUACUCAAAGAAGAGAUUAAUACAAUUCAAAAAGGUGAAAGUAUAGAUCUUUGGCACAAGAGGAUUGGUCAUAUCAGUGAGAAGGGACUUCAAACUCUUGCUAGAAAGCAGUUCUUACCAGAGUUGCAAGGUACAUCUCUUAAAUCUUAUGAUCAUUGCUUAGUUGGAAAAACACAUAGAGUUACAUUUCAUGCAUAUCUAUCAUCUAGAAGAUCAGAUGUUUUUUAUUUUGUUUAUACUGAUGUUUGUACUAUGUAAACUAGAACUCUUAAAGAUACUCUUUAUUUUGUUACUUUUAUUGUUGACCAUUCUAGAAAAGUGUGGACUUUUGCUUUGAAAUCUAAAUACCAGGUACUCGAUGUUUUCAAGGAGUUUUAUGUUAGUGUUGAAAGAGAAACUAGCAGAAAGCUAAAGUGUGUUCAAUCAGAUAAUGGUAGCGAGUGUAGGGGUCCUUUUAAGAAUUAUUGUAGGUUCCAUGGUAUCAGGCUUGAGAAAACAGUUCCUAAAACUCCUCAGCAAAACGGUGUGACAGAAAAGAUGAACAGAACUAUUGAAGAAAAGAUUAGGUGUAUGCUUUCCCAUGCCAAGUUACCAAAGUCAUUUUGGGGGGAGGCUAUGAGAACUACAAUUGACCUGAUAAAUCUUUCUUCAUCAGUUCCUCUGAAAGGUGAAGUUCCAGAGAGAGUAUGGAGAGGAAAAGAUAUAUCUUAUAAUUAUUUGAGAGUAUUUGGGUAUAAAGUAUUUGUUCAUAUUCCCAAAGAUGAAAGGUCCAAGCUUGAUAAUAAGACAAAAGCAUGUAUCUUUUUGAGAUAUAGUCAUGAAAAGUUUGGGUACAGAUUAUGGGAUCCAAUGAACAAGAAGAUUAUUAAAAGUAGAGAUGUUGUAUUUUUUGAAGACAAAUUGUUUGAUGAUGGUGAUAAUAUUGAGAAGUCAAAAAUCUCUAUUUAUAUUUCUUGGAGUUUGGGUCCAGUUCCUUUACCUACAGUUCAUGAUGAUUAUGGGAGAGAUGAACAAGAAGAUUGUGAUGAAAAUAUAAGUGAUGAUACUCCUACAGUUGAUAAUGCUGAACCAAUUGAACAAGCACCUCCACUACUAGUUGAGAUUCUAUUGAGAAGAUCCACUAGAGAGCGACAAUCAUCUACUAGAUAUCCUCCACAUGCGUAUGUUAUGCUUACUAACGAGGGAGAGCCAGAAACUUACCAAGAAGCUAUUCUACAUGAGCAUAAGAAUGAGUGGGUUAAAGCUAUGCAAGAAGAUAUGAGAUCCUUGCUUGACAACCACACCUAUGACUUGGUAAAGUUGCCUAAAGAGAAGAAAACUCUCAAGAAUAAAUGAGAUUACAAAUUGAAGACUGAAAAUAAUAGCUCACAAUAAGAUACAAGGUACGACUAGUUAUGAAAGGAUUAAGUCAGAAGAAAGGUAUUGACUUUGAAGAAAUAUUUUCUCCUGUGGUGAAAAUAUCCUCUAUCCGAGUUGUUCUUGGUUUGGUUGCCUAUUUGAAUUUAGAAGUUGAGUAACUUGAUGUGAAAACAACAUUUCUUCAUGGUGACUUAGAAGAAGAAAUUUACAUGGAGGAACCAAAAGAUUUCAAAGUCAAGGGAAAAGAAAAUAUGCUAUGUAAGCUUAGGAAAAGCUUAUAUGGACUCAAAUAAGCACAUAGACAGUGGUAUAAGAAGUUUGAUUCCUUUAUGAUGAGCCAAGGGUAUAAUAAAACCACAUAUGAUCAUUGUGUGUUUAUGAAGAAAUUUUCAGAUGAUGAUUUCAUUAUUCUCUUGCUAUAUGUUGAUGAUAUGUUGAUUGUUGGCCAUGAUGCUAGAAAAAUUAAAAAACUUAAAAAAGAGCUAAAUAAGUCUUUUACUAUGAAAGACUUGGGAUCGGUAAAACAAAUACUUGGCAUGAAGAUUCUUCGUGAUAGAAAGAAAAGGAAGAUUUGGCUAUCUCAAGAGACUUACAUUAAAAAAGUUUUUGAAAGAUUCAACCUGAGUAAAACCAAAGCAGUUGGUUCUCCACUUGUAGGUCAUUUCAAGCUUAGUUCGAAUCAAUGUCCUACAAGUGAGAAAGAAAAAGAAGAAAUGUCCAGAGCGUCUUACUCAUCUACAGUGGGCAGUUUGAUGUAUACUAUGGUUUAUACUAGGUCAGAUAUAGCUUAUGCAGUUGGAGUUGUCAACCGAUUUCUCUCUAAUCAUAGAAAAGAACAUUGGGUAGCAGUGAAAUGGAUAUUAAGAUAUCUAAGAGGUACUUCCAGGUUGUGUUUAUGUUUUGACAGUGAUUAACCUGUGUUAGAAGGGUACAUAGAUGCAAACAUGGCAAGUGAUACUAAUUCCAAGAAGUCCACUUCGGGAUUCUUGAUGACAUUUGCAGGAGGAGCAGUCUCUUGACAGUCUAAGUUACAGAAUUGUGUUGCUCUACCAGUUACAGAAGUAGAAUACAUAGCAAUUACUGAAGCAUGCAAGGAAACUUUAUGGAUGAAAAUGUUUCUAUAGGAAUUGGGCUUGAAACAGGAAAAAUAUUCUAUUUACUAUGACAGUAAGAGUGUCAUUCACCUCUCUAAGAAUUUCAACAUACCAUUCUAGAUCCAAGCAUAUUGAUGUGAGAUAUCACUAGAUUCAUGAUGUGCUUGAGUUGAAAGAAUUACAGUUGGAAAAAGUGUAUACCAAUCAGAAUGAAUCAGAUAUGUUGACAAAGUCUUUGCCUAAGGAAAAACUUGAAGUAUAUAGGCGAAGAGCGGGCUUAGUACAACCUACUAUAUGAGCUAGACGGGGAGAAUUAUUGGGUCCAGCCCAUAUGUGGGCUUGGACAAUUAGGGCUAUAAGCCCAAAUCAAUAAUUAAAAGGAGGGCAGCAAACGUGAGAGAGGGCAGCGCAUGCAGCAGCAGCGGCGCACAGAGAGAGAGAAAAAGGAGAGAGAGAGGAAAUAAUAGAGAGAGAAAAAGGAGAGAGAAAGUAAGGUUUUUGAGUUUUUUUCUUGACGAUCAGGGGUUAAACUUUGUCAGUUUUGGCCUAAAUUUAAUGCAGAAAAUUCUUGUAGCAAGCUCUACAAUCCUAACGGUGUUGAUCUAUAGUUUACCUUCUUUGGAAUACUUUUCUAUGAUAUCCAUUUUAUAAGACCUAAAUUCUCUUAUUGAUGAGAUACAUCUAACGAUAUGCUAUUCUUGAGCCAAGAUAUAUGGUCUUGAUGUUAUUGUGAUCCUCUUGCUAUUUUAGAGAAGACUUAUUAUAAACCUAUUAUCAUUACUAUUGAUAGUGGAAGUUUGAGAUAGACUAUGGCCCCUUGGUUUUUCCCGCAUUGGGUUUUUCAUGUUAAAAAUUUGGUCUCACCGUGUGAUUGAUUUAUUGCUCUACUAUUUAUGUUGUUCUAAUUAAUAUUUACAUUUUGAUAUCAAGUUGGUAUUUUGAUGAGGAACCCAUUUUGAUACACAAAGAGGGAAAAGAAUUAUUCCGUUUUAAUAAGCUUUUUUCAACACUAAUUCACCCCCCCCCCCCUUUUAGUGUCGACUCGUUCAUAACAAUUGGUAUUAGAGCCACGUUAUUUCUCACUUAGUUUAACACCUAAAAGAAAUUACUCUUUUUAGCUUUCAAGUGGGUUUUUCUAUCGUUCAUCCUCCCAUGUUCAAUGGGCCGGUCUAUACUUAUUAGAAAACUCAAAUGAGAGUUUUUUUACUUUCAAUGGAUUUAAAUUUAUGGAAUAUUAUCAAAGUGAUUUUCAAAAGUCUUCUACUCCAACGAACGAAUGAAAUGAUUUGGAGAAGAAAACUUAUUUCUUUAAAUGCUAGAGCUAUGAAUGCUAUAUUUUGUGCCUUGAGCAAAAAUAAAUUUAAUUGUGUUUCUAUUUGUGAAACGACUUUCUAUAUUUGACAUACACUUAAAAUCACACACAAAGGCACUAGUAAAAUUAAAGAUUUGAAAAUCAAUCUUUUGAUACAUGAUUUUGAACUAUUUCGAAUGAAGCCAUGCAAAACCAUUGUUGACAUGUAUACCCAUUUUACAGAUAUCAUCAAUGGCUUAAAAGCUCUUGGCAAAUGUUUUUUGAAUCUUAAACUUGUUAAUAAAGUUUUACGAUCUCUUUCUAAAACUUGGGAUCAUAAAGUAAUGGUCAUUCAAGAGGCCAAGGAUUUGAAUACUUUCCCUCUCGAAGAACUUAUCAUGUCUUUAAUGAUCUAUGAAAUGAGUUGUAUGAUAUAAAAUAAAUAUGAGAACAACCAUCCAAAGAACAAGAAGGAUUUGGUACUUAGAACAAAUGAAGACCACUCAAGCGAAAACAAGUGAUGAUAAACUCGAACUUCUCACUAUAAAAUUUAAAAGGUUCAUUAAACAAGAAUUAAAAAAUAAAAAUAAACUUAAAAAGAAGUUGCUAAAGAAGAAGAGAGAACUCAAGGUGACUUGGAACGAAUCGAGUUCAUCCGAAGAUGAAGAACAAAUCAACAAAGGCGAGGUGGCAAACUACGCCUUAACGACUUUCAACGACGAGGUAACCAAAACCCCUUUGCUUUAUUUCGAAAUUACAUAAUGUAUUUCAUGAGUUAUUUUUAAAUUAGUUAAAAAAAUUAUAUAUAUAUAUAUAUAUUUUAAAUUACAUGAUGUAAUAAAAAUAAUUUUUUUUUGGAUCAUGCUAGUAAUUUUGAAAAUGAUAAUGACAAUUGCAUGUUUUAUGAAAAUAUAAUAAAAUGUUAGAUAUAAAUCUAAUGCUUGUACAUCAAAUAAGAUCAUAUAAAUAUUCGUAAUAAGCAAUAAUGUGUAUUUUGAUGAUUUUCGACUUUGAUUGAAAAUGCUCAAUGAAAUCAUGCUUGAUAUUUUAAUGACAUAAUGAUGUAAGAUGUAAUAAAAAUAUUAAAGUUUUUAUACCAUACUUGAUGAUUUUAUACUAUGUAUGAGAUUCUGAAGUUAUACAUGAUGAUUUUUGUGAUUUAUGGCUUAUUGAUCUUUGUCGUAAUGAAAAUUACUUUUUCAGUUUUAAAUAAGAUGAAUGAUUUUCAUAUGAAAAACUUGAGCAUAUUUAUAUGAAAUCAAUCACAUAAAAUAAAACACAUAAAAUGGAAAAUAUAUUAUCAUUGGAAUUAAAAUGAUAAAUCAAAUCUCUUGUUUGAAAAAGCCUUAUGUUUAAUGUGAUUGGUCAUGAUGAUUUUGAUGAUAAAAUUUGUGUUUCGAUUUUAAUCAAUGAUAAAUGGAUUUAACAUAAAAGAAAAGGGCAUUAAUCACAUAAAUUGAAACAAAAAAGUGGAAAGCAUUUUUCUUUAAAAUUCCUCGAUCCCUACCUUAUUGAGUUUUCAAAAAGGGAUAUUGAUGAAUCUAUUUGUAUCAAUUUUAUGAAUCUCUUAGAUUAUGAAAGUGAUUUUGAUGAUUAUGAAUUUGAAUUUAAUGAGUUUUAUCAAAAUCAUGAUAUUGAUUUCUCGAGAUUUAUAACUUGAAAUCGCUUAUGAAUCAAGAUCUCUUAUUAUAUGUUCUUGUAUCUUCUUAUUGAGAUUUAUCCAAAUGAAUCAUGGUUUCUCUUUCAAUUUCUCAGAAAUUAUAACAUGAGAUUACCUUUGAAGAUCAUUAACUAUUUAAUCUCCUAAGAUUUCAUUUUGUUAUUUACUAAAAGGGAGAUUUGUCAAGAUGAAUCAUUUAUGAAUUGAUCUUAUUUGAUAUUCCAUCUUUCAUGUCAUGAUUUUGAUAUGAUUACCUUUGUAUUUAUGUAAUGCUUAGAGCAUUGAUGGAAGAAAGAAAGAAAUACAUUGCACCAUUAAAAAUCCUUCUUUCUUGUUUACAAUAAAAAAGAGGGAGAAAGAAAAUCGCUAGCAUCUCAAGAGAUUGAUAAAUCAACUUAUGUCAUUUUGAAUCUCUUGAAAACGAUUUUGAUGAUUUGAUGAUUUGAAUUUGAAUGGGUUUUAUUCAAAUCAUACUAUUGAUUUCUUAGAAUUACUUGAGAUUUUUUCUUAAUCAAGAUCUUUUCUUUGUACUCCUACGAUUUUUUUCUUGGUAUUUUAUUUAAANNNNNNNNNNNNNNNNNNNNGAAUUACUUGAGAUUUUUUCUUAAUCAAGAUCUUUUCUUUGUACUCCUACGAUUUUUUUUCUUGGUAUUUUAUUUAAAGAGGAGAUUUACUAUAUGAAUCAUGUUUUUUGGUAUUCACAUGAUCAUAUCUUUCAUGCCAUGAUUUAUUUAGGAUACUCCAUUGUAUUCAUUUAGUAUAUCUCAAUACCCAAUUAAAUUUUCUUGAUAUUCUUCGUGUGAUGAAAUGAAUGUGAUAAAAUGAAAUUAUGCAUAAAAUACUCAUGAGAAUUUAUGAUCAUGCAUGAUAAGAUGUAAUGUAAUUUAACAUUUUGAUACCAUUAUUAUUUGAAAUAUUUAUGAUUUGGAAUGAUGCAUGCAAUACUAUGAUUUGUUGCUAAAAUGAUGUAUCAUGAAUUCUUGAGUAUCAUAUAUGAUAUGCCCAUAAUGAUGAUUGAUUUAUUUUUAGUAUCAUGCAUAAAGUAAGAAUGAUAUGUAAGGUUUUGAAAUUGUACAUAUUUUAAUUUGAAACUAUAAUGAUGCACAAACAUAUUGAAAUAAGAUUGAUACUUUAUCUUUGUCAUAAUUUGAAAAUUAUUGUAAAGGGAAAAAGAAUUAUAAAAUUAUAUUCUUCCCUCCUUUUUGACAAUGACAAAAGGAGAUAUAAAAUUUGCUUACUUGCACAUUUCAAGAAGAUGCAAAAAUAUGCUAGCUUGCUCAUCUCAAAAGAGAAGCAAAGAUUGUUAACUUGCAUAAUUCAAGAAGCAAAAGUUGCUUUCUUGAACAUCUCAAAUAUUGAUAGCUUAUAUUUUCUAAAAUGAUGUAAAAAAAUAUUUGCUAGCUUGCAUGAUGAAAAACUUAUUAGAAUUGCUAGCUUGAACAUUAUAAAGGAAGCAAAAAUUGCACUUCUCAAAAGAGAAGAAAGAACUUGAAUAUCACAUUUCAAAAGAUACAAAAAUUUGCUAACUUUCAUAUCAAAAACUUGCUAGCUUGUAUAAUGAUAUAUGCAAUGAUAUAUGAUGUUUCAAAAACAUAAAAUUAUGCAAUGAUAUAAAAUUUUAUAUCAAAAGCUUGUAUAGUUACACUUCUCAUUUUUGUUGAUGACAAAGUGGGAGAAGUUAUGUUGAUGAUAUGCAUAUAAUGUGUUGCGAAUAUUCAUGAUAAAAUAUUACUUUGACUUGAAUUCAAGAUUCUAUUAAUAUGACAUAUUGAUAGGGGGAGUUUGUUUAAACUCCGUCAUCAAUUGGUUGUCAUCAUAAAAAAGGGGGAGAUUAUUGAAUCUCGGAUUUUGAUAAUAAAACCAAUUGAUAGUGUUUAUUUGAUCAGCAUUUUGAGUGAUGCAGGAAGCUUCAAUCAUGAAGAGACAAUUAAGGCAGGAAGAAUCACGUCGGACCGAAAUGGAACAUGUUAGAAGAUUAGACGUUAAGCCGAAGGAUCGAUCGGCAUAUCAACAAAAGGCUUCGAGCUAUAGGUUCGGGCAUUGGGCCAAGAAGAGCAGAAAUUACACCAAGGAAAUCGGAGUUGCGAAGGUCAAUUGGCCGAUUGUGUAAUAGGCCACAAGAGAGGACGACGCGUCGAAUAAUCGAACGAAGCGUCGAUGAACUAAUGACAUGCCGAACAACAUUUGAUUUAAGUCUUAUAAUAAUUGUCUAUAUCAAAGUAGGUUUUAAGUAUAUAGGAUUAACUAUGAUAGUGAUUAAGGCAUAAGGCAAAAUGAAGUCCCGAAGUCAAUAACGAGAUUUCGUUUGGAUUUCGAGAGUUCGUCGGAAGUCCGAACGUUCAUCGAAAGUUCUAUCGGAAUUGACCAAGAAAUCCAGGAGCUUGCUAGAGAAGAUCGUUAGAACUCGCUAAGAAGAUCGUCGUGAAGUCUAGGAGCUUGUUGGGAGUCCGCUGGAACAUUGCCGAGAGAUCGUCGGAAGUUCACCGAAAGAUCGCCGGAAGCUCGCUAGAAAAAACUUAGACUUAUCGAACUUAUUUAGCUUAGUAUAUACCUCAAAAUUCAUAGUUAGCACAUAAUUGGGUUGGAAUUGGGCCAACUAAAUUAGGGGUCAAUUGAGCCCAAGUGGAAGGCCCAAAUAGUGACCCAACUAGUGGAACCGUCGUGGCACAGUUUUCGAGACUAUGUCAGGCAGUGGUACCGCCAGUUUGGGUAGUGGUAUCGCCCAAACUCAGUCUCCGAGACUGUCAGGUGGUGGUACUGUCUAAUGUCAGUAUUGUAAGCGGUGGUACUGCCAAGACCCGGGAAACCUGAGAUGAGAAAUUUUUAGGCUCCAAGUUGGAAUCCACUUGAAGCCUAUAAAUACUCCUCUCAUCCCUGGUUAACUUACAUGAGAAUUGAGAGUGAAAAAGAAAGAAAACACUGUUGUAAGCUUGUGUGAACUCCUCUCAAACUCUAAGUGUUGGAGAAGCUUAAGAGAGGAGGUUGUGGGGGUUGUAAAUGUUCUCUUCUAAACCUAUCAAAAGGAGAAUCGAGUUGUAAGGAUAGUUGAUAUUCGCCCAUUGAAGGAAGAUCAUUAGUGGAUGCUGGUGGCCUCGACGGAAGAGGAAUCAGUGGAGUGGAUAUAGAUCAUGAUGACCGAACCACUAUAAAAAUCUGGUUUGCAUUUCUUUUGAGCAAUUUACCUUUCCUGCAAACCACUUUACUUUCACUAUUCUUUCAUAUGCUUUCAAGUUAAACUCACAUUUCCGAAAUUAGUUUUUAUCGUACGAAGUUUUUGAACCGACGUGUUUUAUCCGUUGCACUAAUUCUUCUUUACACCUACAUCAUCCCCUUUUGUGUUACCCGCUUCUGCAUCAUCCCCUCCGUCACCAUUUCGUGCUUCCUUAGUUACCAUGUCAGUCCCUCCAUAAUACAUACUUGAUCAUAUAUUAAGUGUUUGUUUAUUAAAAAAUAAGUACAAUAAUUUAAGAAAAUAUUUAAAUAGUCUCCAUCUUAACAUUAUAAAGAAUAAUGUUAGUAAUAGAUGAAAGGCAAAGAUGGUGAAUAUCCUCAAUAAGAUAGAUAAUAAGUAAUCAUAUCAUUCAUGUGAUAUGAUAUUUGUGAUUAUUGUACUAAUUGAUUUUUCUAUUUUGUAAUAAUGAUUAUACGAUGUUUGUGAUACAAUACAUGGAACACUUAUUGUCAAACAAAGAAAUAGAAUUUAGCCAAAGGGACAUGCUAUUAUUUAGGUUGAAUCUAUGAUUAUUGUGAACUAAAAUACUGUUGAAACACUUGUUCACAAUAACAAUGAAUCACAAUUGAAACGCUUAUUCACAAGAACAUUAAAGCAAUUCACAAACCAAACGAAUUAUCAAACAUUAGAGACAUUAUUACUGUUAUUGUCUUGUAUGAUAGCCUCUAAUCUUGUACAAAUUAUUUAACAAUGUGAUGUCGUGUUGGUAAUUUGUUUGGUUUGUGACUUGCAGUUGUUGUGAACAAGUGUUCCAAUUGUGAUUCAUUGUAUGUGGUUGUCAUGUUUAUCAAGUGUUUCAAUUGUGUUUAUUUUUUAAAUAGGGUACUUUAGUUUGAAUCUAUGAUCGAAUGUAAUACGAGUAUAACUCUAGUGUAAAUAAGGGAAUUAUCCCCAAACCUAUACAAACCACUCCAUAACUAUCAUAACAUAAUCUUAACAUGUUUAGUAUAACAUAUUUUUCUUGAUUUUAGGAUCAUUAAUUAUCAAAAUGAUACAUUGAAUCUAUAAUUAAGUAUAACUUAAUUGUAAAUAGAGGAAUUAUUAUUAAACCUAUCUAAACUUCUUCGAAACUAUCAUAACAUGAUCCUAACAUAUUUAAUAUCAUUUUUUUGAGUUUUUUGAUUUUAUAGUCAUUAAUUAUCAAAAUAUGAUAUUCUACAUGCAUCUAUAAUCGAGUGCAAUCCGAGUAUAACUCGAGCAUAACUCAUAUGUAAAUCAUUAAAUUAUUUUUUAACUUAUUCAAACUUCUCCAAAACUAUCAUAACAUAUUCCUAACAUGUUUAAUGUAAUCUUUUCUAUUUUUUAAUUUUAAGAUUAUUAAUUACUAAAAUAAGAGAUUUCUUCAUUGAAUCUAUCAUCAAGUAUAACUCGUCUAUGAUCUAGUGUAACUCAUAUGUAAAUCAUUGAAUUAUCUUUAUACUAAUCCAAAAUUUUUAAAACUAUCGUAACAUGAUCCUAACAUAUUUAGUAUCAUAUUUUUUUAAUAAUUUUUGGGUUAUUAAUUAUUGAAAUAGAGGAUCUCUAUUUUAAAUUUGUGAUCGAGUAUAACUCAGGUGUAAUAUGAUUGUAAGUGUAAAUAAGAGAAUUAUCCUCAAACUUAUACAAACUUCUCUAAAACUAUCAUAACAUGAUCCUAACAUGUUUAGUAUUAUUUUUUUUAUUUUUCUGAUUUUAGGGUUAUUAAUUAUUAAAAUAGAAUAUUUUUAUAUUGAAUCUAUGAUCGAGUGUAACUCGAGUAUAACUCAAGUAUAAAUUAUUGAAUCAUUCCUAAACCUAUCCAAACUUUUUUAAAACUAUCAUAACAUGAUCUUGACAUAUUUAAUAAUAUUUUUUUAUUUUAUUUUCUGAUUUUAGGGCCAUUAAUUAUCAAAAUAGGAGAUUUCUAUAUUGAAUUUGUAAUUGAGUGUAACUCGAGUAUAAAUCAUUGAAUUAUCCCUAAAUCUAUCUAAACUUUUCAAAAACUAUCAUAACAUGAUAUUAACAUGUUUAGUAUCAUUUUAUUUAUUUAUUUUGAUUUUAGGAUGUUAUAUUAUCUAUGAUUGUGAGAUUGAAUCAUAGAUAAUAUAACAUCCUAAAAUGUGAGUAUUAUGAGAUUGAAUCUAUGAUUGUAACCCGAGUAUAAUGUGAGUAUAAUUCUAUUAAUUUUUGUUUCAAACCUAUCAAACCUUAUCUAUAACAGUCAUAACAUAAUUCUAAUAUGUUUAGUAAUAUUUUCUCUAAUUUAUUUUUAUGUUUAGAUGAUUCUAGAAAUUAAUUUUUUAAAAAGAAUACUAUAGUUCUUGGUGAUAUUAUCACCUGGUUUAGAAUGGUACCACAUCUCUAGGUUAGCAGAGCACUAGGUAUAGGUGCUACCAUCACUUGUCUGACAGUAACACCGUGGUCUUAUUACAUUAGGAGAUUGAAGUGAAACUGAGAUCGAGUGUAACUCGAAUUACAAUAAAUAUAACUAAUUGAAACUUAUCAACAACUAUUAUGACAUGAUUCCAAGUUAAUUAGUAGUUUUUUUUAAAUUUUAUUGAUAAUUUUAGUGUAAUUAAUGGAAUUUGACAUAAGAUGAUCUAAAUGUCCAAUCAUAAUCCUAUUUUAUCGGUAACUUGAGUUAAAAUUCACCCAAAUUAGAACUAAAUUAUUCAUUACAACCAUAACAUGAUUCUAAGUUGAUUAGUAAUAUUUUUAUUUUUUUAAUGAUUUUAGUAUAAUUAAUAGAGUGAUCCGAAUGUUAGAUCAUAAUCCUAUCCUAUUCGUAACUUUGAGUAUAACUCAAGUUAAAAUUUAUCCAAAUUAGAACCAAAAUUUUUAGAACUACUAUGAUAUGAUUCUAAGUUGAUUAUAGUAAUUUUUUAUUUUUAUAUUUUUAGUGUAAUUAAUAAAAUUUUAUACGUAGUGAUUUAAAUGUUAGAUCGUAAACGUAUCAUAUCCAUAACUAAAGUUAAAAUUACUUAAAUUAGAAUCAAAUUCUCUAAAACUACCAUGAUAUGAUUCUAAGUUGAUUAGUAUUAUUUUUUGAUAAUUUUAGUAUAAUUAGUAAAAUUUGACACGCGAUGAUCCAAAUGCUAGAUCGUAAUUCUAUUUUAUAAGCAAAGUCUUUAUUUUUCUAUAUGAGUUUUUCAAGAUUGAUGUUGUGGAUGUGAUCUUGAAUUUUUCAUUUAUUCUAUAAUCAUGUGGGCAUCAAGCUUUUUCAUGACUAGAUCAACACAUAAUGACAAGCCCUCUAAACUGAGGUACCAAGCAUGCUAACUAAGUUAAUCUUUUGCAGGAGGGAAGACUGCCAUAAAAAGAAUUCCAAAUCCACUCAGUAGGAAGUCUAGCUUAGUAGUGAAGGACUUAAACCAUAGUACAUGAAAAAGUAAAUCUUUUUCAAGUUAAUCUUUCAAAUGCUCACCAUGUACACGAUGGACACUACAUUUGUAGGACUUCAGCCAUGUGGUUACAUGAUAACACCAUUCCAACACAUCUUUCCUUUUAUUUUCAACAUAUAUCUCAGGUUCCAAAGGGUUGCUAUGUCAAUGAUUGGUACAUAAUUUAACUAAGGCUGUAUCAGCUUUCUGUAGGUGUAAUCUGCCACCAAAAAUCUCCCCAAAUUACCAUUCCUGACCAACAAAUUCAUACCCAAAUUCAAAAGUAAGAACAAAAAGAACAUCUAGCCAGGAUAUGUAGCCAAGAUAUAGGCAUUUCUUGGCUAUAGAAAAAGAUAUGCCGCUCAAAAGAGAAAUAAUCCACAAGCUAUAAUAAAUCUAAAAACAACAAAAAAUCACUCCGCAAAUGAUCAAACAAUUGGAGAAAAAUAUAACAUACUUCUGCUAGUAAUAAAAAGUCAACUAUGCAUAAAUUGACUAAUGUGGCAGCCAAUUGAAUCCAAAAAAUUCUGCUAUGCAUAAAAUCAAAUGUGUAGUCAUAGUCACUAAUUACUAUAUGGAUAAUUAUUGGAGUCAGAAAUCUCUUAGUCGAUUUGAAAAACAAGAUAAACCACAAAGACUAAAAUAUUGAUAUCCAAAUCUUCUAUCAUAAGGAAGCUGUCAAUGAAUUGGAUAAAGAAGCAAUGAUCUGAAGAAAAAAAAAAUGAUACUCAACUAAAGAAUCGAUAGGGCACGAAGCUAAUGAUAAAGGGAUAGGAAGCCGAUAGUGAUGACACCACCACCAAUGCUCAACGGAUCCCUUUCUCUCCUCUUCGAUGAUGGUGAUUGGGUAGGAAGGGAGCCGAUGAUGACAGUGCCACCAUCAAGGUUCAAUGGGACCCCUUCAUCUCCUCUUCGAUUUUGUCGACUUGUUGUUGUUUUCGCGAGGGAUAUGACUCAUGCUCGUGCAAGGUUAGGAUAGGACAAAGAUUACAUGACAACAACAGAGACUAUAGCGAUGACAACCACUACCAAAAAGAAUGUUGGUGAAUAUUACUGUUAAUCGAUCGAAUGAGGGUAAUCUGGAAAUAAAAAGGGUAAUAUAUGUAGAAAAAUUAAAUACUUAGGCUUUUAUUGAGCCGAUUUGGUUCGAUUCAUAUUAAAUAAAUCAGUGUAGGCCAAAAAUCAUAGUCAAAUGGGGUCAAUCGAUUAUUUUUGUAUUUUAUAAAGAAUAUUUUGAUCAUAAUAUAAAAAAAAAGUGUCUCUCGGUAAAAAUCAAAUAUGUGGGCAUCAUCUAAGUAAAACUUCAUUAGUGGGGCCUUUUUUAAUUAAAUUAUCACAUUUUUUUAUGAUAUAUAUUAAUAAAAUUAAUCACUUGUAAUUAUGGUUAAUAUUAGUUUAUUUAUACUCAACAUUAUAAAAUUCUAAAAUAUUAAUUUUUUAAUGACAUAAUAAGAUCUUAAAGAAUAAUUAAUGAAAUUUAGAGAUUUAACUAGCAGUUAACUUGCCUUGAUAUUUAUUAAAAUGACAUGUAUAUGCCAGUUCUUUUUAUGGUUUUAUAACUCAAAUUUAAAGGGAAAAAUAUUGGCAAGGCUAACUUUGCAAUUACAAGGAUACACAUGUAAUAUUUGCUAAUCAUAAGGGCAAUGAAUGAACGAUAAUGCUGUGAGAUUACUAUCGACAACAUCUCUUUAUUAUUGACAAUCCUUUACUUCAUACAAUCAUCUAAAAAAAUAAUUAAAUAUAAUUUUAUUAAAUAUUAUCAAUCAUACUUUUAUUUUUUAUAACUCUUCAAUUGAUUGAAUAUGAUAUCUUUUAUAUUGAUGCAUACUGAGAAAGAAGAUAAUAUCUUUUGAACUGGAGUAAAAACAUGGAGAAUAUCAUAAUUAAAAAUAUCUAGAAUAUCAUAAUCCAAUCCAAUUAGAUUACAAUCUAAUGUCUUAAAUCCUAAAGAUAUUAAAUCGAUGUAACAAAUGUAAAAAAACUAUUAUAAUUUCUUUUUGUUCAAUCUUCAUGUCAUCCUAUUUGAUUAUCAACAAAGAAGAGAAAGAAAACAAAGAUGUAUGAAAGGAGUAGGAAGAUUUUAUUGAAACAAGAGGAUAUUUACAUGCAUAAUAAUGUACAGAUGGUAUCUUAGAAACAUUAAAAAAAAUAAAUAGAAAAAGAAAUUGAUUGGUAAUAAAUAGACUGUUGCUGUUAGUUGUAAAGUAAAUGAUGAUUUAACCGAAAUUAUCCCAUUAAAUAAUACAUAUAACAAAAUAAUUAUUUUAACGAGCUCGCAGAAUUAAUUAUUAUUAAUUAAUUAAUAAUCUCGUGAAAUAAACCAUCAAAUAUUAUUAAUUAAUUUAUGACAAUUUUAUUGGCAUUGGCCACACUGCUGAUGUUACCAAUUUGACAAGGAAACAAUAAGAUAUCUGAAACCAAAUGAUUGACUUCAUCAAACAUGAUAUUAAAAAUGUCAAGUAAAUCACAGAAACACAUAAAUGGCUUCAGUCAAACAAUUCACAGUUGGUCACACUGGCUUGGAACAAACGACAGCAUCUUACUCUUCAGAUCAUAGAGUAUCUGUAGAUUCUGCUGCUGGAAGUUGCCGAGGAUGGACAAGCCACUCGACGGCAUGAUCGUUAGGCAAAGCGAACCGUCGCUUGAAUCCAUGAUCAUGUAGUUCUCCGCCGGCAGAUGCAAAUCGGCACCGUCGAAGUGGAACACCAGCUUUGGAACCUCCACCGACGACGAUGCCGACGGGGCCAAGAAGCACAAGUCGAGACCGAUCUCAGAACCAUCGGCAACUGGGAGCUGCAUCUGGGACAGGAACGCCUUCUUCAACCUCCUGUACGCACCCACUUCCAGGUAAGUGAUGGAGGUGCCGGAGUCUAUGAUCAAGCCACCGGAUCCAUCUUCUUGCACCGCGAAGGUCGAGCUCGGAAUCUGUAGACGGUUUCCGCCAACCGAGAUGUCUUUCAGGGAGAGAUAAUAUAAGGCUGGAUGUUUAGGGUUCUGCACCAGUGGUGUGGAUUGGAUCGCACUUGCAGCUGCACUUGCGGUGAGAUCAGCCAGUGAGCCAAACAGAAGGGGGCUCUUCUUUGAAUCAUCCAAGGAGGUGAGGCAGUAGGAGAACUUCCCCAGGUCGAGUUGUGAUAUCAACGACAACGGUCCUCGGCCGAGUCCGACGAGACCGGAGCCCUGCGAGAACCCACUGCCUUGGUUGGUGUCGCCGCAGCCAAAGGCGACGCCAGAGACUGCGGUUGAAUUCUCAGUCCCAAAGGUAAAGGUUUCGCUAGCGAGAACACCUUGAGUCGACGAGGAGUCGCCAUAAGAGUACAGGUAUUCGCAGCUGGAAGCACCGCACGUGAAGGUAGGAAGAGCCUGACACAGGUUGCUCGAGCAUGGAAGGUUCGUGUAGGUCGACGAGCUCGAUGGAUCGAACACGGGAGUGGGUUGGCUGAAGCACUCGUCGCAGGGCUUGCACUGCGUCCAUAUGAGGUCGCUGCCGGUGUCAAUGAUGGCCGGGAAUGCAAGACUCGGAGUGCCGAUGGCCAAGUCCAUGAGGAACUCACCAUUGCCGGCAUGGACCGGAGCUUGGACCUCAUUGGCAGAUGCCGCGGCUUUCAUGGCCCGGGUCGUCAACCGUGCCAUCCUGCGGCUGCUGCGAAGUGCUGCUCGUUGGAGCAGCUCAAACUUGGAGAAGUUGCCAUUGGAAUCCACAUGGGUUAGCUCUACUCUGAGGCCGCUAAACGCAGAAGAGGCCCGUGGAACAGCCAUAAGGAUCAUGGCCAUGACAAGAGGAAGGAAGACUUGAAUGGCUCUCAUGUCCAAAGUGGCUGCCGAACGCAAUUGGGUGAAAGGUCUUUACUAGGCUAGAUUUCAAUCAUCAAAUACUUUUGUUGACCAUAGAAUGGGAAGACAAGAAGUUGGAAUGGAUCAUAGAGAAGGGGAAGAUAGAAAUGCUCCUCUUAUUGGAUUCCUUAUGUACACUUUUAGGUUUGGAUAGGUAGGAUAUCUGUUUGUCCUCAAAACAAAAUAGAUGGUUCAGAUCAGUGCUUUCAUGUGAUAAAAAUUUCUUGGGUCAUACACUGUACUACAAGAUAUUAGGGUGUCAUUGACUAGAGAAAAUAAUGUGUGUAGCAACAAAAGGUUUGGUGAGCAGCUUGUUUCCACUGCAAUAGAAUAGUGCUGAUAGAGCGUGGAAGGUCUUCCGAUUUGGUGAGGUUUGGUGACCUAUCAAUUGUUGGUUCACUAAUGUAAACAUCAUCAACGACCCACUAAUGAUAGGAGUUUCUUGCCUGUUUGGAAAAAUGAGAUAUGAGGUAAUAUUCAUCAUCAUUCAUUCAUGAGACAGAAAAUGUUGGGUUCAGAUCAUCAUUCAUUCAUGAGACAAAAAAUGUUGGGUUCAGCCCAUAGACAGAAAAUGAGAUAUGCCUGCUUGGACUGGACCCUGAUCUAUUAAAAAAAAAAGGAAGGAAACCUAUUAGAGUUGGCAUGAGAAACAUGCCUACUAACAGUGAUAAGACCCAUAGAGUUUUAUUAUAGAAGAAGAGGAAAGAAAAGGAAUGAUCUAGUGGAAGGUUUGCUAAAUGCUAAAAUAAUAUUUCAUAAAUGAUGAAAAGAAGCAUAUACAUCGAUAUUCAUAGAGUUCCAUCCUUGAGUCCAUUAAGACUUGAACUCCUAAUAAAAUUAAUAAAUCUCAAAUAAGCUCUUAUCCGACUCCUAUUAGACUAGAAAAAUUUAAUAGAAUAUAAUUCAAAACUUAAAAAAUAAAAGAGAUCCUAACAAGUGAUGGUGCAGAAAAAGAACAAAGAGAGAGGAGAGAGAAAGCUAGGGUUUUGAAACUUUUGCUAGACGAUUAUGUGACUAAAUUUAAUCGCCCAAAUUUUAUACGAAGAAACCUUGUAAUAAGUUUUACAAUCCUAAUAGUGCCAAUUUAUGAUUUGUCAUUUGUGAGGUACUUAUUUUUUAUAUUUUCUUUGAUAAAAUCCAUCUAUGAUGAUGAUGAUAUGUUAUUAUUAAACCAAGAUCUAUGUUUUUGAUGUUAUUAUAAUCAUUUAGUUAAUUUGAAAAAGACUUAUUGUAAACCUAUUAUCAUUAUUAGUGAUAGUGGAGGUUUGAAGUAGACUAUAAUCCUGUUGUUUUUUUUGUAUUGGGUUUUUCUGUAAAAAUUUGAUGUCUCACUUUGUGAUUGAUUCAUUGUUCUAUUGUUUAUACUGCUCUAGUUAAUAUUUGCUUUUGAUAACAAGUUAAUAUUUGGAUGAGAAACUCAUUUUGAUAUACAAAGAGGGAAAAAAAUUAUUCCACUAUAAUAGAUUUUCCCAAUAUGAAAUGAAGUGUGACAUAAGAUAAGAAAAAGAAAUUUUUUUUUUAUGGACUUAUUAAUGAAAUGCAGAAAAAAAAAUGGAGUUAUUUAUGAAAUGUGUCAUACACAAUGUUGGGGCGGUAAAAACUACUACAUUCGGAUUUCUAUUAAGAAAAUAAUAAAAUAUUAAAAAUAAUAUAUUAAUUAAAAAAAAGAAUUCAAAGAUGCAUAAUUAUUAUAUUAAGGUAAAAUAUCAUCUUUAUGUUGAUUGAGAUUCUCAUCCCAAAAUUCAAAAUUCAACUGGUAUUAUCUCUCCUAGUAUAAUCGUGAAGUGAUUUGAUUGACUUGACUAACCUCUUUCAAUGGAUUGAACACCAAAAUAAAUUGAUAAAAUUUAUUGAGAGAAAGAAAUCAAUGAGGAGGAAAUAUAUUAAUCUCUAAAUAGAUGUUGUUUAGGACUCAACAUGUCCCAAAGGUCACCGUAAAAAGAUGUUUUCCCAAGGCACAUAUCCUUUCAUUUAAGCAUUUUUAUAAGUACCAAAAUUAUUUUCAUAAAAUUUUAAGUUUUAAAAUAUAAGUCCAACACAUAAUGCAUCAAAUAUGUGUAAUUUUCAGGAACUUUUAGGAAGGAGUAAUUUGGUUGCUUAUAAACAUUAGAAGAAAUUUACUUUCUUUAUUAUAUUAAGGUUGGUAGUCAAAUUUGGGUGAUUUUUCAAUAUCAAAUAGGUUGUGGUUGAUAUGUAAUUAUCCAAAAUAUUUCUUUAUUUUUUGAAAAUAAUCUGUCCCAUCGUGAGAAAGUCCAUUGUAGUAUCUUUGAUAAAGUUCCUAAUUAACUUGUUUGUGGGCUACGAAAGAGUAAUCUUUCUAGUUCAAAAGAUAGGCGGCCUUUGUACUUAUUAUUAUUACAAUAGAAAUGAAGACAUAGUUAUCAAACUUGGAUCUUGAUACAAUAUAUUCAAAAAGUAUAUACUUAUGUAUAAAAAGAUAAAAUUUAGUUUUGUAAUUAACAGUAUGUUACAAACUUCCUACAAAAAUGUAAUUGUGAAAUGACUUUUUGUUACUGAGUGAGUUCAUGAAAAUAAAAUGAUCAAAAGAUAGAAAUCUAAAUUCUAAUAAGUUAGCUGACCAAGAUACAAGUCACCAAUACAUGAAGAGGUGUUAAAAGAAAACAAAGAAAUGAUUGUGAAAAAAAAUGGAUAACUUCGGCAUGUGGCAACUCAAGAUGGAGGUCAUUCUGGUUCAAGACGGAGUUGAUUUGGCACUUCAGGGUGCUGAGAACAUUCCAGGUGGUACGUCAAAGGAAGAUCUUGCGGGUAUGGAUAAGAAGGCCCGAUCCAGCAUCAUUCUAAAUCUCUCUGAUGAGGUUUUAUGAGAGGUAGCUAUGGAGACUACGGCUAAGAGCAUGUGAGACAAGCUUAAAGCCUUGUACAUGAAGAGGACAGUGGAGAAUUGUCUCUACUUAAAGCAGAGUCUAUAUAUGCUUCGGAUGACUGAAGGUACAUCUAUACUCUCACAUCUUGAUAAGUUUGAUUCUUUGGUUAUGAAUUUGGAGAAUAUAGAUGCAAAAAUUGAUGAUGAGGAUAAGGCUUUGUUACUCUUAUGUUCUCUUCCCCAAUCUUUUAAGCAUUUCCGUGAUACUUUGAUUUACGGAAAAGAAACAUUUUUGUAUCGAGAAAUUAAAUCUGAACUGGAAUCUAAGGAGCAGAUAGACAGGAAUAUCAUUGGGGAAAGUAGAGAGAAUCAGGCUGAGGGUCUGAUUGUCAGGGGGAGAAUGGAUAAAAGAGAAUUUGACAGUAGUAGAUCUAAAUUUAGAUCUAAAUCCAGACAUAGAAAUUUGGAAUGCAAAUAUUGUCAUAAAAUGGGGCACAUUAAAUCUGAUUGCUUUAAAUUAAAAAAUAAAUUAAAGCAAAAGGAAAAAUUUGUCGAGAAAACUAUUGAAUCCGCUGAAGUUAGUGUAGCGACUGAUGAGAAUGUUGGAAAUAUUUUCUCUGCUAUUGAUGACAGGACGAGGUCUAAAAAUGAAUGGAUUUUAGAUUCGGGUUGUUCUUAUCACAUGUGUCCCAAUAGGGAUUUGUUUUCCACAUAUGAAUCUUGUAAUGGUGGAAUUGUUUUGAUGGGCAACAAUGCCGCAUGUGAUGUUGUUGGUAGAGGCACAAUCCGAAUUAAAAUGCAUAAUGGUAUUAUGAGGACGCUCACUAAUGUUAGACAUGUUCCUGAUUUAAAAAAGAAUCUCAUCUCUUUAGGCACCCUAGAGGCUCUUGGGUGUAAAUACACAACUGAAGGUGGAGUUAUGAAAUUUUCUAGAAAUGCUCUUAUUGUUAUGAAAGCUUGUAGGUCUGGUAGCUUGUAUAUUCUGCAGGGAACUACUGUCACAGGUUCGGUUGCAGUUUCGUCAUCAUCAUUGUUUGAUUCUGACAUCACCAAAUUAUGACAUAUGCGUUUAGGUCAUAUGAGCGAAAAAGGUUUGAGCAUAUUGAGCAAAAGGGGUCUACUUUGCGGACAGAGUACUGGGCCACUAGAUUUUUGUGAACACUGCAUUUUUGGAAAGCAGAAAAGAGUCAGCUUCACUUCUCCGGUAGUUCACAAAACGAAAGGUACUCUUGACUAUAUUCAUUCAGACCUUUGGGGUCCAGCUCAUGUUCAGUCUAAGGGUGGUGCCAGAUAUAUGUUGACUUUCAUUGAUGAUUAUUCCAGGAAAGUUGGGUUUAUUUUUUGAAGCAUAAAAAUGAUGUUUUUCUAACCUUUAAACAAUGGAAGGCUUUGAUUGAGAAACAAACAGGUAAACAGAUUAAGCGGCUUCGAACAGAUCAUGGCAUGAAAUUAUGUGAAUGUGACUUUGAAGAAUUCUGCAAAAAUGAAGGAAUCGUUCGGCAUCGCACUGUUAGGAUGACGCCUCGACAAAAUAGUGUGGCCGUACGCAUGAACAAAACACUCUUGGAGAGAGCAAGGUGUAUGAUCUCAAAUGCAGGGUUGACAAAAGACUUUUGGGCAGAGGCGAUUAAUAUGGCUUGUUACGUUGUCAACCGCGCUCCUUCUACAACACUUGACUUUACAACUCCAGAGGAAGUUUGGUCAGGUACUCCUGCUGAUUAUUCUGAUUUUAAAAUUUUUGGGUGUCCAGCAUACAUGCAUGUAAAUGAAGGAAAAUUAGAGCCUCGGGCUAAAAAGUACAUUUUCCUUGGGUAUGCUUCUGGGGUGAAAGGAUACAGAUUAUGGUGUUCUGAUCCCAAAUCCCCAAAAUUUGUAAUUAGUAGAGAUGUUUUUUUUGAUGAAUUAUCUAUGUUAUCUUCUAAAGAGGAUUCUACUAGUUGUACAAAUGAUAGUGCGCAGAAGCAUGUAAAGCUUGAGAUUGGUAGUUCAGAUUCUUUUAAGUCGAACUCUUCUACUCAAAGAAUGCCAGUAGGUGGUCCCGAGGAUAGACCACGGAGAGAUAUUCGACCACCACAAAGAUAUGCAAAUUUGGUUGCAUAUGCUUUGUCUGUUGCAGAAGAGACAAGUGAAGUUGGUGAGCCUACUUCCUACUCAGAUGCAAUUUCUUGUGAUAAUUCCGCUAAGUGGUUGAUUGCGAUGAAUGAAGAAAUUGAGUCUCUCCAUCGGAAUAUAACUUGGGAUCUUGUGAAGCCGCCUUCGGGUAAGAAAAUUAUUGGAUGUGUAACAUCCCUCAUUUCCGAAUUUUCGUAUAAAUUUAUGGUGAUAAUGUAAGCAUUUAUGUUAAAUUGACAAAAGAAAUAGAGUACGGAUCAGAGGUAACUUAUUUGUAAGAUUUGGGAGAUCUGUUCAAAAAAAAAAAAAGAAUCUGAGGACCUAUAUGUAAACCCUAAGGACCUAAUCGUGAAUAUGAUAAAAACAAGGACUAAACUGCAAAACGUACAAAAUAACAAAUCCCACCGCCUAAGCCUCUCUGCCUUCGUUCUUAAGGAAGCAGAGAAGGCAGCUCGUGGGUGAUCAGGGAAAGAAAGAAAGAAAGAAGAAGAAGAAGAAGAAGAGAAAGAAAAUUGAGGCUUUAAGGGUUCUUGCUCAAAUCUUUUCACUUAGGGUCAAAAUUUUCAAAGGCAAGUAUUCUAACCCCAUCCUACAGAAGUAUUUGACUCUGUUUUUAUGUUGAUUCAAAAUAAAUUGAAAGAUUUCUAUUUAGAAACUGAUAUGUCUCUCUUUGGACCUAGAACCAUGGAUUCUGAAGUUUUUCGGUAAACUGACCCCUAAGCACUGUUUCAGGUAUAAGUUUUAGUACAGAAUGUGAAUUCAGGCAGGAACUAUUUUGUUUGAAAUUAGACUUUUAUAUCUUCCUUUUGACACUGAUUUUGUAGAUUUUGGACACCGAAUACUUACCCAAACAUCUGUUCCAAAUGAGCCUAUAGACGCUGUAAAACAGGGUUUAUGAUUUCUGACCUGUCGAUACUAAAAGGCCUAUAACUCCCUGUUGAAAAUUCUGAUUUGUACCAAACUGAUUUUAUUUGAAACUAGACUUGAAAAUAUUUCUUUUGAAAUAUAGUAUGAAAAUUUUAUAAUUCAAUUACCUUCCCUAUUAUCAGUUGAAUCCGACCCUAUAAAUUCUGUAAAAUAGUGAUUGUGUCUUUGACCUUGUGUCACCAAAUCAAAGGUAACUCUGUGUUGGGAACCCUGUUUCGUAUGAAAUUUAUUCCAUCAAAAUUUGGAUUGAUAUAUGGUUCGACCAUAGCUUUCUUAAGGGUAAUGGAGCAUAAUUGAUAUUCUGAAGUAUUUGUUUGAUGUGCCACUGGAAUCCUAUCCGAAAUCGAGCUUUGGUCGAUUUCGCGUAUUCUGUUCCAUUCUUUUGGAUAUUUGAAUUCGUCUAACCUUCUUAUUGGAAUUGAGCUAAAUAUGAUUGCUUGGAUUCCUUGUACACUCUUGCUUCCAUUUCAUUCCUAAUCUGGGUACAUUUGUGAGAGAUUUGUUUCUUGCAUCAUAUUGUCUUGAAAUGGCACAUGUACGUUUGGUUGUUCCGCGUGUGCUUCCGAUAUAUGCUAUUUAUUGUUAAACACUGCCCUCUUGUACUCUGGUGUGUGGGAUUGUCUGGACCUUUGCCAAAAAUGGUAAAGGGUAUGCGCUGAUUUGCCGGCUAUGUGGGGUCCCGCUAUGUGGGAUAUUCUGGACCUUUGCCAGAAAGGUAAAGGGUAUGUGCUUAGAGCCUGCGAUGCUCUGCCGGCCCCCUUUGACUUCACCUAGACGUGGGUGGAUGGAGCUCCCAGACGUGGGAGACUUUUGUCAGGUGGUCAUUCAGAAAUGGAUGAAUCACAUUCUGACUGAGAUCCCACUACACCCUCUAUAUGUUUGAUAUGACAUCCAGAGUUUUGGUGAGUUGUUUCUGUACCUGCUCUGGAUAAGAUUGAUAUGAUUGCAACAUCAAGGACGACGUUUGAGCUCCUGUACGAUAUUUGUUCCGAUAUGCUCUGAAAGGCUUCAUUCCCUGAUGAUUUUGCUUCGAAAUGUUCCAUAUGCCGUUGAUAUGCUUCGAAACAUUUUAUAUGCCAUUGAUAAGCUCCGAUAUGUUUCCUUUGUUUCUGAUAUGCUCCAAUUACUCUAUGCCCCAUCUGUCAGGAACCAAAUAUGUAUGAUUAAAAGGACAAUUGUGAUUCUGCUCCUAAUGAUAUUAUGUCUACGAAAUCGUAUAUUCUGCUUUGUGUUUUGAAACUGUAUCUCUUUGGAAAUUGUACUAUUUUGAUAUGGAUAUGUUAGUCACUUGCUGAGCUCUUUAUGCUCACCCCGUUUGUUGAUAAAUUUUUCAGGAUAGCGUAUCGCUUGCUUAAAUGUUAAGAAUGGGCUGAGGCAGUGGAAAGUUUAGAAGACGUUGGGCAGAACUUUUGUUAGCAUAUAUGUAGUUGUGUAUAAGCUACCUUGCAUCUAAUGAAAUGUGACUAUGAAUCUAAACCUGUGGAUUUUGUGUAAGUUAAAGGAUCCCUCAUGUAUAGGGUUUUGGAAUGUUAAAUUAAAUUUGUGUAAUGAUAUGAACUUAUGGUAAAUUGUUGAUUUUGGUGACUGCACAUAUUUCCCCACUUGUGGAUUUAUAUUGUGGUUUUUAUUUUGAUGAGUCGAGUUCAGAUUGUAUGAAUUAUCGAGUGAUGUGUGCUAUGUUUAUGAAUUGCACAGGGUUAUGAAUUGGUAGAUUAUAGAAGUGAAAUUUUUGAUCUGAAUGUUUUCUUAGUGACCUCAAAUGUGUGUUUGGAUCCUGGGUUAGUUGUGAUGAAAAUUUUUAAUAUUGUC
rnacentral:lncRNA from 1 species